rnacentral:rRNA from 1 species
UAGUAAGUGUUUAAGAGCGUACGGUGGAUGCCUUGGCACCAGGAGCCGAUGAAGGACGUAGGAGGCUGCGAUAAGCCUCGGGGAGCUGUCAACCGAGCUGAGAUCCGAGGAUGUCCGAAUGGGGAAACCCAGCACGAGUGAUGUCGUGUUACCCGCGCCUGAAUGUAUAGGGCGUGUGGAGGGAACGUGGGGAAGUGAAACAUCUCAGUACCCACAGGAAGAGAAAACAAUAGUGAUUCCGUGAGUAGUGGCGAGCGAAAGCGGAAGAGGCUAAACCGUGUAGAUGUGAUAGCCGGCAGGCGUUGUCUAUGCGGGGUUGUGGGAUUGUUCUUCUCAGUUCUGCCGAGCUGGGCGUGAGUCAGAAACCGUUGUGUUAGCCGAAGUGGUCUGGGACGGCCUGUCGUAGAGGGUGAGAAUCCCGUAGGUGAAAACGCAACGGCUCAUGUGAGCAACUCCCGAGUAGCAGCGGGCCCGUGAAAUCUGCUGUGAAUCUGCCGGGACCACCCGGUAAGCCUGAAUACUCCCUGGUGACCGAUAGCGGACUAGUACCGUGAGGGAAAGGUGAAAAGUACCCCGGGAGGGGAGUGAAAUAGUACCUGAAACCGUGCGCUUACAAUCCGUCAGAGCCUGCGCCACUUCGGUGGGUGGGUGAUGGCGUGCCUUUUGAAGAAUGAGCCUGCGAGUUAGUGGCAUGUGGCGAGGUUAACCCGUGGUGGGGUAGCCGUAGCGAAAGCGAGUCCGAAUAGGGCGCCCAGAGUCGCAUGUUCUAGACCCGAAGCGGAGUGAUCUACCCAUGGCCAGGGUGAAGCAGCUGUAAGAGGUUGUGGAGGCCCGAACCCACUUAGGUUGAAAACUGAGGGGAUGAGCUGUGGGUAGGGGUGAAAGGCCAAUCAAACUCCGUGAUAGCUGGUUCUCCCCGAAAUGCAUUUAGGUGCAGCGUCACGUGUUUCACGCCGGAGGUAGAGCUACUGGAUGGCCUAGGGGGCCCACAAGCUUACCGAAGUCAGCCAAACUCCGAAUGCCGGUGUGUGAGAGCGUGGCAGUGAGACUGCGGGGGAUAAGCUUCGUAGUCGAGAGGGAAACAGCCCAGAUCGCCGGCUAAGGCCCCUAAGCGUGUACUAAGUGGAAAAGGAUGUGGAGUCGCGAAGACAACCAGGAGGUUGGCUUAGAAGCAGCCACCCUUGAAAGAGUGCGUAAUAGCUCACUGGUCAAGUGAUUCUGCGCCGACAAUGUAGCGGGGCUCAAGUACACCGCCGAAGCCGCGGCAUUCACACAAUACAUCCGCAUCCGACUACGGUUGGGUGUGCAGUGGUGUGGAUGGGUAGGGGAGCGUCGUACAGCCAGGGAAGCAGCGGGGUGACCUAGUUGUGGAGGCUGUGCGAGUGAGAAUGCAGGCAUGAGUAGCGAAAGACGAGUGAGAAACUCGUCCGCCGAAUGACCAAGGGUUCCUGGGCCAGGUUAAUCCGCCCAGGGUGAGUCGGGACCUAAGGCGAGGCCGACAGGCGUAGUCGAUGGACAACGGGUUGAUAUUCCCGUACCCGUGUAUCCGCGCCCAUGCUGAAUCAGUUGUGCUAAGUGCCCAAAUCCCCCGGGAAGACCUUCGGGUCUCGAGUGGGGUGCUGCGCAUGACCCCGGCUGGUAGUAGGCAAGCGAUGGGGUGACGCAGGAAGGUAGCUGGGCCAGUCAGUGGUUGUACUGGUGUAAGCCUGUAGGGCGUUGUGUAGGCAAAUCCGCACAGCAUUGAGCCUGAGAGGUGAUGCGUAGCCGAUUGAGGCGAAUUCAGUGAUCCUAUGCUGCCGAGAAAAGCCUCUAGUGAGUUGGUACACGGCCCGUACCCCAAACCGACACAGGUGGUCAGGUAGAGAAUACCGAGGCGAUCGAGAGAACUGUGGUUAAGGAACUCGGCAAAAUGCCCCCGUAACUUCGGGAGAAGGGGGACCUGAUCUGGUGACGAGUCUUGCACUCUGAGCUGGGUUGGGUCGCAGAGACCAGAGAGAAGCGACUGUUUACUAAAAACACAGGUCCGUGCGAAGUCGUAAGACGAUGUAUACGGACUGACGCCUGCCCGGUGCCGGAAGGUUAAGAGGACCGGUUAGCGCCCUUCGGGGUGCGAAGCUGAGAAUUUAAGCCCCGGUAAACGGCGGUGGUAACUAUAACCAUCCUAAGGUAGCGAAAUUCCUUGUCGGGUAAGUUCCGACCUGCACGAAUGGCGUAACGACUUCUCUGCUGUCUCAACCACAGACUCGGCGAAAUUGCAUUACGAGUAAAGAUGCUCGUUACGCGCGGCAGGACGAAAAGACCCCGGGACCUUCACUAUAGCUUGGUAUUGGUGUUCGGUACGGUUUGUGUAGGAUAGGUGGGAGACUGUGAAGCAUGCACGCCAGUGUGUGUGGAGUCGUCGUUGAAAUACCACUCUGAUCGUAUUGGACCUCUAACCUCGGACCAUGAUCUGGUUCAGGGACAGUGCCUGGUGGGUAGUUUAACUGGGGCGGUUGCCUCCCAAAAUGUAACGGAGGCGCCCAAAGGUUCCCUCAGCCUGGUUGGCAAUCAGGUGUCGAGUGCAAGUGCACAAGGGAGCUUGACUGUGAGACAGACAUGUCGAGCAGGGACGAAAGUCGGGACUAGUGAUCCGGCACCGGCAUGUGGAAGCGGUGUCGCUCAACGGAUAAAAGGUACCCCGGGGAUAACAGGCUGAUCUUCCCCAAGAGUCCAUAUCGACGGGAUGGUUUGGCACCUCGAUGUCGGCUCGUCGCAUCCUGGGGCUGGAGUAGGUCCCAAGGGUUGGGCUGUUCGCCCAUUAAAGCGGCACGCGAGCUGGGUUUAGAACGUCGUGAGACAGUUCGGUCUCUAUCCGCCGCGCGCGUCAGAAACUUGAGGAAGGCUGUCCCUAGUACGAGAGGACCGGGACGGACGAACCUCUGGUGUGCCAGUUGUCCUGCCAAGGGCACUGCUGGUUGGCUACGUUCGGAAGGGAUAACCGCUGAAAGCAUCUAAGCGGGAAGCCUGUUCCAAGAUGAGGUUUCUCACCCACU